UCUCUCUCUCUCUGCCUUCCUCUCUCUGAAAUCAAUAAAGACAUUUUAAAAAGCAAAACAAAACAGGGAACCUUAACGUUUUUAUGAGGCCUAGUAUAACCCUGAUAAGAAAACCUGACAAGAACAGCAAACGGAAGGAAAAUUAGGAAAAUUAUAUGCCAGUUUUGCUCAUAAAUGUAGAUGUAGAAACUCGUAAGCAAAAGGUUAAGGAAAUCUAGCAUUACAUAAGGAUAAUACAUUAUGAGCAAGUUAGGUUAUUUUAACAUAAGAAUUAAAGGUAAUGAUUGAUGAAUGGAGAAAAUACCAUCUUGAAUGUAAAGAAACGAUUAAAAACUUGUUCAGCGUAGGUGCUCAUGGAAAACCAGGAGAUCACUUCAAAGUCGCCAGGAAUAUUUAUGAGUUCAUUUUGCAGUAGGAAAGAAUGUCUUCAAGGUAGCUGAGACCAGCUGCUGACACCCAGGAGUCUGAUGUGAAAAAGUGUUAUCUGUGAUUGAAGAAACACAGACUUCUCUCUCAGUUCCCUGGAACUCUCCCUCCCUCCUCCCCUUAAAACUCUUCUGCUUGGUAUGAAACUUCGGAGAUGGUCUUUGGACAGUAGCUCGACUGUCUUCCUGAAUAAAGCAAACUUUCCUUUUCACCCAA